GAUGAACGCUGGCGGCGUGCUUAACACAUGCAAGUCGAACGGAAAGGCCUCUGCUUGCAGGGGUACUCGAGUGGCGAACGGGUGAGUAACACGUGGGUGAUCUGCCCUGCACUUCGGGAUAAGCCUGGGAAACUGGGUCUAAUACCGGAUAGGACCACAUUUUGGAUGGUGUGGUGGAAAGUUUUUCGGUGUGGGAUGAGCUCGCGGCCUAUCAGCUUGUUGGUGGGGUAAUGGCCUACCAAGGCGUCGACGGGUAGCCGGCCUGAGAGGGUGUACGGCCACAUUGGGACUGAGAUACGGCCCAGACUCCUACGGGAGGCAGCAGUGGGGAAUAUUGCACAAUGGGCGCAAGCCUGAUGCAGCGACGCCGCGUGGGGGAUGACGGCCUUCGGGUUGUAAACUCCUUUCGCUAGGGACGAAGCGUUUUUGUGACGGUACCUGGAGAAGAAGCACCGGCUAACUACGUGCCAGCAGCCGCGGUAAUACGUAGGGUGCGAGCGUUGUCCGGAAUUACUGGGCGUAAAGAGCUCGUAGGUGGUUUGUCGCGUCGUUUGUGUAAGCCCGCAGCUUAACUGCGGGACUGCAGGCGAUACGGGCAUAACUUGAGUGCUGUAGGGGAGACUGGAAUUCCUGGUGUAGCGGUGGAAUGCGCAGAUAUCAGGAGGAACACCGAUGGCGAAGGCAGGUCUCUGGGCAGUAACUGACGCUGAGGAGCGAAAGCAUGGGGAGCGAACAGGAUUAGAUACCCUGGUAGUCCAUGCCGUAAACGGUGGGCGCUAGGUGUGAGUCCCUUCCACGGGGUUCGUGCCGUAGCUAACGCAUUAAGCGCCCCGCCUGGGGAGUACGGCCGCAAGGCUAAAACUCAAAGGAAUUGACGGGGACCCGCACAAGCGGUGGAGCAUGUGGUUCAAUUCGAAGCAACGCGAAGAACCUUACCAGGUCUUGACAUCGUGCUGAUGGGACUAGAGAUAGCCCGUCCCUUCGGGGCAGCAUAGACAGGUGGUGCAUGGUUGUCGUCAGCUCGUGUCGUGAGAUGUUGGGUUAAGUCCCGCAACGAGCGCAACCCUUGACAUUAGUUGCCAGCAUUUAGUUGGGCACUCUAAUGUGACUGCCGGUGACAAACCGGAGGAAGGUGGGGAUGACGUCAAAUCAUCAUGCCCCUUAUGACUUGGGCUACACACGUGCUACAAUGGAUAGGAACAAAGAGAAGCGAGCUCGCGAGAGUAAGCAAACCUCACAAAACUAUUCUCAGUUCGGAUUGUAGUCUGCAACUCGACUACAUGAAGCUGGAAUCGCUAGUAAUCGCGAAUCAGAAUGUCGCGGUGAAUACGUUCCCGGGUCU
rnacentral:rRNA from 1 species